rnacentral:snoRNA from 1 species
AACCCCCUCCAAGAUAGAAUCAUUUCUAAAUUAAACGUCUUCCAUCUGAACUCUUCAAAAGAGCCACAGAACUCCAACCUGGCGGAUGAAUUACAUCCCCGAUGCCUUAGAGUGAUACCUAGUAUCUUGGCUCCGGCCUCGAUGGUGAUGAUCUCGACCCUUUCAGGUGUCUGGCUUCGGUCGGCUUGACUGGGUAGGCGUUGGCGGACUUCUGACAGGC